CAAGUCGAGCGGUAGCACAGAGAGCUUGCUCUCGGGUGACGAGCGGCGGACGGGUGAGUAAUGUCUGGGAAACUGCCUGAUGGAGGGGGAUAACUACUGGAAACGGUAGCUAAUACCGCAUAAUGUCGCAAGACCAAAGUGGGGGACCUUCGGGCCUCAUGCCAUCAGAUGUGCCCAGAUGGGAUUAGCUAGUAGGUGGGGUAACGGCUCACCUAGGCGACGAUCCCUAGCUGGUCUGAGAGGAUGACCAGCCACACUGGAACUGAGACACGGUCCAGACUCCUACGGGAGGCAGCAGUGGGGAAUAUUGCACAAUGGGCGCAAGCCUGAUGCAGCCAUGCCGCGUGUGUGAAGAAGGCCUUCGGGUUGUAAAGCACUUUCAGCGGGGAGGAAGGCGUUAAGGUUAAUAACCUCAUCGAUUGACGUUACCCGCAGAAGAAGCACCGGCUAACUCCGUGCCAGCAGCCGCGGUAAUACGGAGGGUGCAAGCGUUAAUCGGAAUUACUGGGCGUAAAGCGCACGCAGGCGGUCUGUCAAGUCGGAUGUGAAAUCCCCGGGCUCAACCUGGGAACUGCAUUCGAAACUGGCAGGCUAGAGUCUUGUAGAGGGGGGUAGAAUUCCAGGUGUAGCGGUGAAAUGCGUAGAGAUCUGGAGGAAUACCGGUGGCGAAGGCGGCCCCCUGGACAAAGACUGACGCUCAGGUGCGAAAGCGUGGGGAGCAAACAGGAUUAGAUACCCUGGUAGUCCACGCCGUAAACGAUGUCGAUUUGGAGGUUGUGCCCUUGAGGCGUGGCUUCCGGAGCUAACGCGUUAAAUCGACCGCCUGGGGAGUACGGCCGCAAGGUUAAAACUCAAAUGAAUUGACGGGGGCCCGCACAAGCGGUGGAGCAUGUGGUUUAAUUCGAUGCAACGCGAAGAACCUUACCUGGUCUUGACAUCCACAGAACUUUCCAGAGAUGGAUUGGUGCCUUCGGGAACUGUGAGACAGGUGCUGCAUGGCUGUCGUCAGCUCGUGUUGUGAAAUGUUGGGUUAAGUCCCGCAACGAGCGCAACCCUUAUCCUUUGUUGCCAGCGGUUCGGCCGGGAACUCAAAGGAGACUGCCAGUGAUAAACUGGAGGAAGGUGGGGAUGACGUCAAGUCAUCAUGGCCCUUACGACCAGGGCUACACACGUGCUACAAUGGCAUAUACAAAGAGAAGCGACCUCGCGAGAGCAAGCGGACCUCAUAAAGUAUGUCGUAGUCCGGAUUGGAGUCUGCAACUCGACUCCAUGAAGUCGGAAUCGCUAGUAAUCGUAGAUCAGAAUGCUACGGUGAAUACGUUCCCGGGCCUUGUACACACCGCCCGUCACACCAUGGGAGUGGGUUGCAAAAGAAGUAGGUAGCUUAACCUUCGGGAGGGCGCUACCC
rnacentral:rRNA from 1 species